UACGUAGGGUGCGAGCGUUAAUCGGAAUUACUGGGCGUAAAGCGUGCGCAGGCGGUUCGCUAAGACCGAUGUGAAAUCCCCGGGCUUAACCUGGGAACUGCAUUGGUGACUGGCGGGCUAGAGUAUGGCAGAGGGGGGUAGAAUUCCACGUGUAGCAGUGAAAUGCGUAGAGAUGUGGAGGAAUACCGAUGGCGAAGGCAGCCCCUUGGGCCAAUACUGACGCUCAUGCACGAAAGCGUGGGGAGCAAACAGG
rnacentral:rRNA from 1 species